rnacentral:rRNA from 1 species
UACGUAGGGGGCCAGCGUUGCUCGGAAUUACUGGGCGUAAAGGGUUCGUAGGCGGUGCGGCAAGUCGGAAGUGAAAUCUCCAGGCUCAACUUGGAGGCUGCUCCCGAAACUGCCGUGCUAGAGUGCGGGAUGGGCGAGUGGAAUUGCAGGUGUAGCGGUGAAAUGCGUAGAUAUCUGCAGGAACACCCGUGGCGAAGGCGGCUCGCUGGACCGCAACUGACGCUGAGGAACGAAAGCUAGGGGAGCAAACAGG